rnacentral:lncRNA from 13 species
UGCAAAGUAGCUGGGAUUACAGGCAUGCACGACCACAUCUGGGCCAGGAGAUUCCCAGCGAAGGAACCUGACCGGUCGCCAGUGUGACUCUUGUGGCUGGUGCGGUGGUUUUGCCAGCACCCCGGCGUGGUGGUUCUUGGUGCAGAGUAAACGGGACUGGGUCCCUUUUUGGUUGAUGUUUGGAGCUCUGGGAAGGCAGAGUCACCUAUUCAGCUGAUUGAAAAAGGGACUCAAGAAGGAAACCAGACCGGAGAGUCCUGGGCAGGAAAGCACCAUGAAUUUUAACACUGCUGUUUUACCCUGCACAGUGGGUUGCUCAGAUUCUGGCGCUAGGAAUCAACAAGCUGGACGUCCACCCAAAGACCUAAUUUGAAAGUCGGUAAUUAUAAAGACAACAGGUGG